rnacentral:lncRNA from 1 species
CUCCAACUGGGGCGACUUGUGGAGGGUGGUUCCUGGGACAACGCCCAUGCCGUGAUCAGGAACGGGGUCAGCAGGAGUCAGGUGGGGAAGUGCCAGGUGUCCACUGCCACGACCAACACGUUACUCACACUCACGGCACAAGAAUGGCCUCUGUACCCUGUGUGUAGAGUCAAGGCUAUAAAGAGGGACUGAGAACACCGUGACGCCCUGGCCUGCGCACCCUCCUCUGCUCCAUCUGGGUCUGUCCGGAUGGCAGAGGCUCAGAGGGUCUGCCCCUACCAGAUGGUGGAGGCUCAGAAUGUCUGAGCCAGAAAAAGCAUGAAAGAAAACUUAGCCUUCCUCCUCCCAGUUAACAGAACAUCGGGAGGGGUGAGGAGAGAAGGCCCAGGAGGAGGGGCGUCCUUCCCAGGCAGCUGUCACAGGCCCCUAGCUGAGCUCUCAUGGCAGACACAGCCCAGGACACUCAGACCCAGAGUGACUACGAGCCCCGGCAAGACGUGGAGGAGCAGAGUUACAACCCGUCAAGAGCCUGAUUUCAGGUUGAAACCAGGCUUCACCAUGCAGCAGCUGUGUGGCCUCAGGGAAGUUACUGAACCCCUCUGAGCCUCCCAUGGAAAAUAAGGAUGAUGGUUCCCCUCACAGGGUUGUCGGGAGGAUUCAGUGUCCUCCUUCAGGUCUUGACUCGGAUGUUGCCUCUGAGUGAGGGCGUCUUUGGCCACCCCAUUUAAAGUGCCAACCCUGACACUUCCUCCCUCCUUUCCCCUCUGUCCUCUUCCUGGCUCUUAUCACCAUCAGACAAACCAAGUUUUCACUUCUUGAUCAUUGUCCAGCCCCUGCUGUGAAAUGUGAAGUCCUAAGACACAGGCUUUUUUUGUUUGUUACGUUCAUUGCUUUAGAAGGAAUUAAGGACAAGCUACCCCAAAUGACGUCACUUUGGUAUAUGGAUUAUUUUGAGCUGCAGGCACUGGAGAAACAGCAGGUGCAGGCAGGGCCUUCGGACCUCCCCUUUUCUAACCAAGAACAGGCCAUGACAUUUCCCACGAGAUACACACUCCCUUUGUACCAGGAAGAGAACAUCCUUAUCACCAAACACUGGGAGUGGAUGCCGAGGUGCAUCUGCACAAACACACUUAAUAAAAUAACCCUUUGCUUCCACCAGUUUUACUCGUUUCUCCCCCACGAAUCUUCCAGUUCCUCCCCCACGAUUUACUGCCCCCAGUCCAAACCUUUUUGUCUCAUCAUUUCUUCACA